UAAAGCGAUUCAGCGGGUUACGAUUGACGGAGCGAAGCGACGUCAAAGCGUAUACAAAGUCGAGUCGGUUUAAGGAUACGUUCGUUGGGUAGGGGAGCGUUCUGUAAGCCUGUGAAGGUGGCCUGUGAGGGUUGCUGGAGGUAUCAGAAGUGCGAAUGCUGACAUAAGUAACGAUAAAGCGGGUGAAAAGCCCGCUCGCCGGAAGACCAAGGGUUCCUGUCCAACGUUAAUCGGGGCAGGGUGAGUCGACCCCUAAGGCGAGGCCGAAAGGCGUAGUCGAUGGGAAACGGGUUAAUAUUCCCGUACUUGGUGUUACUGCGAAGGGGGGACGGAGAAGGCUAUGUUGGCCGGGCGACGGUUGUCCCGGUUUAAGCGUGUAGGUGUGUGUUCCAGGUAAAUCCGGUUCACUUUAACACUGAGGCGUGACGACGAGGCACUACGGUGCUGAAGCAACAAAUGCCCUGCUUCCAGGAAAAGCCUCUAAGCAUCAGGUAACAUCAAAUCGUACCCCAAACCGACACAGGUGGUCAGGUAGAGAAUACCAAGGCGCUUGAGAGAACUCGGGUGAAGGAACUAGGCAAAAUGGUGCCGUAACUUCGGGAGAAGGCACGCUGAUAUGUAGGUGAAGCGGUUUACCCGUGGAGCUGAAAUCAGUCGAAGAUACCAGCUGGCUGCAACUGUUUAUUAAAAACACAGCACUGUGCAAACACGAAAGUGGACGUAUACGGUGUGACGCCUGCCCGGUGCCGGAAGGUUAAUUGAUGGGGUCAGCGCAAGCGAAGCUCCUGAUCGAAGCCCCGGUAAACGGCGGCCGUAACUAUAACGGUCCUAAGGUAGCGAAAUUCCUUGUCGGGUAAGUUCCGACCUGCACGAAUGGCGUAAUGAUGGCCAGGCUGUCUCCACCCGAGACUCAGUGAAAUUGAACUCGCUGUGAAGAUGCAGUGUACCCGCGGCAAGACGGAAAGACCCCGUGAACCUUUACUAUAGCUUGACACUGAACAUUGAGCCUUGAUGUGUAG
rnacentral:rRNA from 1 species